CCUACGGGAGGCAGCAGUGGGGAAUAUUGCGCAAUGGGCGAAAGCCUGACGCAGCGACGCCGCGUGAGGGAUGAAGGUCUUCGGAUCGUAAACCUCUGUCAGCAGGGAAGAACGGUCACUGUGCUAAUCAGCAGUGAAUUGACGGUACCUGCAAAGGAAGCACCGGCUAACUCCGUGCCAGCAGCCGCGGUAAUACGGAGGGUGCGAGCGUUAAUCGGAAUUACUGGGCGUAAAGCGCUCGUAGGCGGUAUGUCAAGUCAAGGGUGAAAUCCCCGCGCUCAACGUGGUAACUGACUUUGAAACUGGCAAACUGGGGUGUGUGAGAGGAUAGUGGAAGUCCAGGUGUAGGAGUGAAAUCCGUAGAUAUCUGGAGGAACAUCAGUGGCGAAGGCGACUAUCUGGCACAUAACUGACGCUGAGGAGCGAAAGCGUGGGUAGCAAACAGGAUUAGAUACCCUUGUAGUC
rnacentral:rRNA from 1 species